rnacentral:rRNA from 1 species
CACGUAGGUCGCAAGCGUUGUCCGGAUUUACUGGGCGUAAAGAGCGCGCAGGCGGCUGGUCAAGUCCGAUGUGAAAUCCCCCCGGCUCAACUGGGGAACUGCACAGGAAACUGCGAGGCUUGAGUUCGGGAGAGGGAAGCGGAAUUCCGGGUGUAGCGGUGAAAUGCGUAGAUAUCGGGAGGAACACCUAUGGCGAAGGCAGCUCGCUGGGACGUUACUGACGCUGAGACGCGAAAGCGUGGGGAGCAAACAGG